rnacentral:lncRNA from 1 species
CUACUAAAAAUACAUAAACUAGCUGAGCAUGGUGGCGUGUGCCCGUAAUCCCAGCUACUCAGAAGGCUGAGGCAGGAGAAUGGCUUGAACUCGGGAGGCAGAGGUUGCAGUGAGCUGAGAUUGCACCACUGCACUCCAGCCAGGGCAACUGAGCGAGACUCCAUGUGAAAAAAAAAUGUUUUUAAAAAUUAGGAAAAAUCCAGCCUGGGCAACAUGGUGAAGCUCCGUCUCUACAAAAAAUACAAAAAUCAGCUGGGCAUGGUGGUGUGUGCCUGUAGUCCCAGCCACUCGGGAGGCUGAGGUGGGAGGAUCACCUGAGCCUGGGGAGGAUGAGACUGCAGUGAGCCAUGAUUGCACCACUGUACCCCAGCCUGGGUGACAGAGUGAGACCCCCGUCUCAAAACAAAACAAAAAAAAACAACUAGGGGAAGACUGCACAAGAAAAGAAAACAUAGAAAAAAGGGAAACAAAGAUUUGGAAAAAAGAAAAAUCCCAACAGAAUAGCCAAGGACAGGAAAUGCACUGAUGGGUAAUGUCCUCCCUAUAGUAGAUGAAAGUCUCUACUGCCUUCCCUUAAUGCUUGUUCCUUGGCUCUGCUGACAAGUUGGGAGCCAGGGUAUGAACUUGGUGGGUGGCGACACAUCUGCUGACCUCGGGUCUGCUGGGAAGAAUACAGGGCAGGACCUAUGUUUGGUGUCAGAAUCAUCUGGAGGUUGCAGUCCAUGAGCUGGGAAAGGAGGCAGUGCUCUUGGGAGAAACAGCAGAGGCCUCAAGUUUCGGGCUGAAGCCAACAGAGUCCCAACCAGUGGGCGUAUCCCAAGAUGAAGAAUUUUGGAAUACAUACCAGGGUCUGCAAGAACAGCUCAGCAGGAAUACUCAUAAAGACACUGAGCCUGUGUAUGAGAGGGCUGUGCCUACUCAACAGAUUCUAGCUUUUCCUGAGCAAACAAACACCAAAGACUGGACAGUGACACCUGAGCACGUCUUGCCUGAGUCCCAGGUGAGCUGUGCUUUC